rnacentral:lncRNA from 1 species
UUCCCGACCCGCGACCUGCCGCCCGAGCUGGCUGCCAGGCCUAUCGCCGCCGCCGAGACCCUCCGGCCAACAGGGACCCGCGGUGGCCCCGGCCCCCCCGGGACAAAAGUGGCUCUCAAUCCAGCACAUGCACAUUGAAGCAAGUUAAAGGAUUUAAUAUGAAGCACAGAAGCAGAUAGUGCCAAAUAGCAAGCAGUAGUUGUUACACAUUUCUGGAAAAGCAGUGUCCGUGUUGUUAUGUACACCUCCAAAAAAAGUUCAAAUGUGUAGGGGAAUUGUUGUGUAAAGUAAACUGAACUGCAGGGUAGCAGUAUUUUAAUAGCUAUUAUAGACCUGUAUUUACUGUAUUUAAAUGAGUAAAGGAACAAGCAGUGACACAUCACUAGGAAGGGUGAGCAGGGCAGCAUUUCCUUCUCCCACUGCUGCUGAGAUGGCAGAAAUUAGUCGAAUUCAGUACGAAAUGGAAUAUACUGAAGGCAUUAGUCAGCGAAUGAGGGUCCCAGAAAAGUUAAAAGUAGCACCGCCAAACGCUGACCUGGAACAAGGAUUCCAAGAAGGAGUUCCAA